rnacentral:tRNA from 1 species
AGGGAUAUAGCUCUGAGGUAGAAUAUUUGACUUCAGAUUAAGAGGUCCCUGGUUCAAAUCAUGGUGACCCCU